AUAAGUCGUUUUCAAAGCAUGAGCAGUUUCAUGCUUGCAUGAAAAACUGCUCAUGCUUUAGAAAACACAACAGAAAUGAGCGAGCAGCCCGAUAGGGCGGAGCGCGAAUUACUGUAGGAAUUGCGGGAGCCGAGGGCGGAGCAAUACCGAGACUUAU
rnacentral:sRNA from 1 species